AGAGUUUGAUCCUGGCUCAGGAUGAACGCUAGCUACAGGCUUAACACAUGCAAGUCGAGGGGAAACGACAUCGAAAGCUUGCUUUUGAUGGGCGUCGACCGGCGCACGGGUGAGUAACGCGUAUCCAACCUGCCCAUCACUUGGGGAUAACCUUGCGAAAGUAAGACUAAUACCCAAUGAUAUCUCUAGAAGGCAUCUGAAAGAGAUUAAAGAUUUAUCGGUGAUGGAUGGGGAUGCGUCUGAUUAGCUUGUUGGCGGGGUAACGGCCCACAAAGCAACGAUCAGUAGGGGUUCUGAGAGGAAGGUCCCCCCACAUUGGGAACUGAGACACGGUCCAAACUCCUACGGGAGGCA
rnacentral:rRNA from 1 species